UUUUAACCGCUCUUCACCCCACACCUCUCAACAAUGGUGGAUAGGAUUUGAAGAGCAAACACCCUGAGCACCCCCGAAAGGAGAGAGCUAUGUCUUUUGAAUUACCUGCAUUACCUUAC
rnacentral:sRNA from 1 species